UACGUAGGUGGCAAGCGUUGUCCGGAUUUAUUGGGUUUAAAGGGUGCGUAGGCGGUCUUAUAAGUCAGUGCUGAAAUAUCCCGGCUUAACUGGGAGGGUGCGCCGAAAACUGGAUAACUGGAGUAUGGGAGAGGAAAGCGGAAUUCCCGGUGUAGAGGUGAAAUUCGUAGAUAUCGGGAGGAACACCAGUGGCGAAGGCGGCUCUCUGGGCAGAUACUGACGCUGAGACGCGAAAGCAUGGGGAGCGAACAGG
rnacentral:rRNA from 1 species